AUUAACGCUGGCGGCAUGCCUAACACAUGCAAGUCGCACGAGAAAGCCCGGUUCGCCGGGCGAGUAAAGUGGCGCACGGGUGAGUAACGCGUGGAUAAUCUACCUCUUUCUGGGGGAUAACGCACCGAAAGGUGCGCUAAUACCGCAUAAUCCGGCAGACCUUCGGGUUGGUCGGCAAAGGUGGCCUCUUGAUCAAAGCUACCGAGAAGAGAUGAGUCCGCGUCCCAUUAGCUUGUUGGUAGGGUAACGGCCUACCAAGGCGACGAUGGGUAGCUGGUCUGAGAGGACGAUCAGCCACACUGGAACUGGUACACGGUCCAGACUCCUACGGGAGGCAGCAGUGAGGAAUAUUGCGCAAUGGGGGAAACCCUGACGCAGCGAUGCCGCGUGAGUGAAGAAGGCCUUCGGGUCGUAAAGCUCUGUCAAGUGGGAAGAACAGUCUUAGGGACAAUACCCUUAGGGCCUGACGGUACCACUGAAGGAAGCACCGGCUAACUCCGUGCCAGCAGCCGCGGUAAGACGGAGGGUGCGAGCGUUAUUCGGAUUUAUUGGGCGUAAAGAGAGUGUAGGCGGCCGGCCAAGUCAGAU
rnacentral:rRNA from 1 species